rnacentral:rRNA from 1 species
CCUACGGGAGGCAGCAGUGAGGAAUAUUGGUCAAUGGACGAGAGUCUGAACCAGCCAAGUAGCGUGAAGGAUGACUGCCCUAUGGGUUGUAAACUUCUUUUAUAUGGGAAUAAAAUGUUCCACGUGUGGGUUUUUGUAUGUACCAUAUGAAUAAGGAUCGUCUAACUCCGUGCCAGCAGCCGCGGUAAUACGGAGGAUCCGAGCGUUAUCCGGAUUUAUUGGGUUUAAAGGGAGCGUAGGUGGAUUGUUAAGUCAGUUGUGAAAGUUUGCGGCUCAACCGUAAAAUUGCAGUUGAAACUGGCAGUCUUGAGUACAGUAGAGGUGGGCGGAAUUCGUGGUGUAGCGGUGAAAUGCUUAGAUAUCACGAAGAACUCCGAUUGCGAAGGCAGCUCACUGGACUGCAACUGACACUGAGGCUCGAAAGUGUGGGUAUCAAACAGGAUUAGAUACCCCAGUAGUC